rnacentral:rRNA from 1 species
CUGGGCUGGAUGAGUGGCGGAACGGGUGAGUAACACGUGAGUAACCUGCCCUCUUCUUUGGGAUAACGGUCGGAAACGGCUGCUAAUACCGGGUAUUCACUGUCCUUCGCAUGGGGGGUGGUGGAAAGGUUUUUUCUGGUGGGGGAUGGGCUCGCGGCCUAUCAGCUUGUUGGUGGGGUGAUGGCUUACCAAGGCUUUGACGGGUAACCGGCCUGAGAGGGUGACCGGUCACAUUGGGACUGAGAUACGGCCCAG